GAUGAACGCUGGCGGCGUGCCUAAUACAUGCAAGUCGAGCGAACAGACGAGGAGCUUGCUCCUCUGACGUUAGCGGCGGACGGGUGAGUAACACGUGGAUAACCUACCUAUAAGACUGGGAUAACUUCGGGAAACCGGAGCUAAUACCGGAUAAUAUAUUGAACCGCAUGGUUCAAUAGUGAAAGACGGUUUUGCUGUCACUUAUAGAUGGAUCCGCGCCGCAUUAGCUAGUUGGUAAGGUAACGGCUUACCAAGGCAACGAUGCGUAGCCGACCUGAGAGGGUGAUCGGCCACACUGGAACUGAGACACGGUCCAGACUCCUACGGGAGGCAGCAGUAGGGAAUCUUCCGCAAUGGGCGAAAGCCUGACGGAGCAACGCCGCGUGAGUGAUAAAGGUCUUCGGAUCGUAAAACUCUGUUAUUAGGGAAGAACAAAUGUGUAAGUAACCAUGCACGUCUUGACGGUACCUAAUCAGAAAGCCACGGCUAACUACGUG
rnacentral:rRNA from 1 species